CCUACGGGAGGCAGCAGUGGGGAAUAUUGCACAAUGGGGGAAACCCUGAUGCAGCGACGCCGCGUGAGUGAAGAAGUAUUUCGGUAUGUAAAGCUCUAUCAGCAGGGAAGAAGAAAGCCGGUACCUGACUAAGAAGCCCCGGCUAACGACGUGCCAGCAGCCACGGUAAUCCGUAGGGGGCAAGCGUUAUCCGGAUUUACUGGGUGUAAAGGGAGCGUAGACGGCUGUGCAAGUCUGAAGUGAAAGCCCAGGGCUCAACCCUGGGACUGCUUUGGAAACUGUGGAGCUAGAGUGCUGGAGAGGUAAGUGGAAUUCCUAGUGUAGCGGUGAAAUGCGUAGAUAUUAGGAGGAACACCAGUGGCGAAGGCGGCUUACUGGACAGUAACUGACGUUGAGGCUCGAAAGCGUGGGGAGCAAACAGGAUUAGAUACCCUAGUAGUC
rnacentral:rRNA from 1 species